GUAGGUGGCAAGCGUUGUCCGGAAUUAUUGGGCGUAAAGCGCGCGCAGGCGGUUCUUUAAGUCUGAUGUGAAAGCCCACGGCUCAACCGUGGAGGGUCAUUGGAAACUGGAGAACUUGAGUACAGAAGAGGAAAGCGGAAUUCCACGUGUAGCGGUGAAAUGCGUAGAGAUGUGGAGGAACACCAGUGGCGAAGGCGGCUUUCUGGUCUGUAACUGGCGCUGAGGCGCGAAAGCGUGGGGAGCAAACAGGAUUAGAUACCCUGGUAGUCCACGCCGUAAACGAUGAGUGCUAAGUGUUAGGGGGGUUUCCGCCCCCCUUAGUGCUGCAGCUAACGCAUUAAGCACUCCGCCUGGGAGUACGGCCGCAAGGCUG
rnacentral:rRNA from 1 species